rnacentral:rRNA from 1 species
GAUGAACGCUGGCGGCGUGCCUAAUACAUGCAAGUCGAGCGAACAGAUGAGGAGCUUGCUCCUCUGACGUUAGCGGCGGACGGGUGAGUAACACGUGGAUAACCUACCUAUAAGACUGGGAUAACUUCGGGAACCCGGAGCUAAUACCGGAUAAUAUAUUGAACCGCAUGGUUCAAUAGUGAAAGACGGUUUUGCUGUCACUUAUAGAUGGAUCCGCGCCGCAUUAGCUAGUUGGUAAGGUAACGGCUUACCAAGGCAACGAUGCGUAGCCGACCUGAGAGGGUGAUCGGCCACACUGGAACUGAGACACGGUCCAGACUCCUACGGGAGGCAGCAGUAGGGAAUCUUCCGCAAUGGGCGAAAGCCUGACGGAGCAACGCCGCGUGAGUGAUGAAGGUCUUCGGAUCGUAAAACUCUGUUAUUAGGGAAGAACAAAUGUGUAAGUAACUAUGCACGUCUUGACGGUACCUAAUCAGAAAGCCACGGCUAACUACGUG